AAAUAGAGGAUAUGCAAACCAACCAGCCUAGAACAAAGAACCAUUUAUCAAGUAAAAUAACUUUCCAGCAGGGAUGGUGGCAGCCAGCCAUCAGAUUCUUUUGGCCUUUAUCAUCAGUCAUCAGAAGCAGAGUAACAACCUGACUUACCAACAGAACUCAUAAAACAACUGAUUAAACCAGAGUGCACUUCCAGGUACCCAGGACAUGCUGCACUACAACAGGCUUUCUACCUUCCUCUUUAUUUUGUGUAUGUGUGACGCCGGGUAUUGAACCCAGGGCCUUGGGCAUGAUGGGCCAGCUCUCCACUAUGGACUUACACCUCAUCCCUGAACCAACCUAGAUGCCCUUCCAUAGACGAAUGGAUAAAGAAACUGUGGUACACGCACACAAUGGAAUGUUACUCAGCAUUAAAAAAGAAUAAAAUCAUGGCAUUUGCAGAGUCAGCUAGAGCAUGGAACCCCUGCAUGUGGCAUCUGGCUUCUCCAGUGGCUGGCCAGAGGAGCUGGACAUAAUUCUGUAUGGCUGUGAACACUGAUGGAUUAGAGACAAAAAGUGCACAAGAUCUAGCAGGAAAUUUCCUCUUAGUCAUCCAAUGGAUGGAUCUGAGGCCUGGUGGCUUCCUGCAGUUUGUAUGGAGUCAUUUGGAGGAUUAAACAACUGUUUGAGGAGGCUGGGGAAUAACUCAAUUGCUGGAGUGCUUGCCUCACAUGCACAAGGUCUUGGGUUCAAUCCCCAGCACCACAUCCCCCCCCCCACACACAAAAAAAACAAAAACCUUGCUUGUGCUUAUGCCCUUAUAGGUUUGUUCAUCUCCUUCCACACCUAAUCUCCCCUUCCCCCCUCACAUUUCCUGCCCUUCGAACUGCACCUCCCAUUAAAACAAUAAUUGAUACAGAG